rnacentral:misc_RNA from 1 species
GAUGAAGAACGCAGCGAAAUGCGAUAAGUAGUGUGAAUUGCAGACUUCAGUGAAUCAUCGAAUCUUUGAACGCACAUUGCGCCCCUUGGUAUCCCGAGGGGCAUGCCUGUUCGAGCGUCAUUUCACCACUCAAGCCUGGCUUGGUGUUGGGCGACGUCCCCUUUGGGGACGCGCCUCGAAACGCUCGGCGGCGUGGCACCGGCUUUAAGCGUAGCAGAAUCUUUCGCUUUGGAAGUCGGGGCCCCGUCUGCCGGAAGACCUACUCGCAAGGUUGACCUCGGAUCAGGCAGGGAUACCCGCUGAACUUAAGCAUAUCAAUAAGCGGAGGA